rnacentral:snRNA from 1 species
GAGUUAUCUUUUCUGUUUAAC